CCUUGGGGGUAGGACUGCACUUGUCUGCUCUUCAGGAGAAGACGCAGAUGGGAGUCUUUCCACUGCCUGUACUGUGUCUAGCUCAGUCUCCAGACCUUCUAGAACCAGAGAGGUCACCGCUGCCAUGGCUCAGUCAAGAACUACAUCUGCUUCCCCUGGAUGUCUGCCCUCUGCCUGACUUAAAACCCCAGGAAAGGGCGUGCCGUGGUGACAUUGCCAGUAGCCAGUCACCAAGUAAGAGGACUUGGUGGCGACCUGGAACACACUGAUGAAUUCAGGAAAUCGAUACAUAGAAGACUUAUGACUGAAUUUAACCGGUAGGCCAUCAACUGGGAAUGAUGAACAGGAUAGAAAUUUUAAGGGUGCCAUUAAGCAGAUGGUAAUCCAACACUUGGACUAAAAUUGUUCUUAAAAUCUCCUGGGCCACAGGAAAUCUCACAGUUAUCGUCAUGUGUUUGUUUGUCUAAGCUAUGCUUUGAAGCAAAAAGAAUGAAUAAAAGUGUUUAAUGUGCA